GCAAAGGGUGUUUAAAUGGUCUGCCCAAAGUCACACAGCUAAGAAGCAGUGAUGGGAUAUGAAGUCAAACAGUCUUAAAAGCAAGCUAUCCUGUUGCAAAAUAGAGCACUGUGGGUAUCGUUUGGAUGCUGAGCAGAGAUAGUACCAGGUCUGGCAAAGGCUUAGCUUCAACGGUGGUGGUGGCUGUGUAGAGUUGACACUUGAACUCUACAGUAGAUCAAGCUUUCAUGGUUGUGCUGAAGAACCAGAAACUUAUAAGAAAGAAUGAGAGAAUUCAAAUACUUUAUUAAAUAUUCUUCCAUGUGAGAAACUUCAUAAAGUAACACUUCAGGUCCUUUAAUAGUUUGAACUGCUGUCCUUGGCAAGGAACACAGAACCUGAUAUGAAGAAAGUAAAACAAAUCCAGUAUCUCUAUGUGCUCUGUGCUACAUACAGAAUCAAGAUAAAAUCUCAUGGAACAAAAGUUAGAAUGUAGACACGAUGGUUGGAGUUCCAGAAGUUGUCUUGGACGAUGAGGUAGCUUUGAGGAUAGAAGCCUUUGGCUAAGGAAGGUGGAGCACAAAGACAGAAGACGAAGAGCAUUCCUGAGGACUGUGGAGUUCCAUGCCAGCCUUGCAUUGUCUAUCUUGUUACUUCUGUGGGAGAAAAAAUACAGUAAAGCCAGGCUUUGGUAACAGGAUGAUGCUGGCCUCAUAAAAUGAGUUAGGGAGGAUUCCCUCUUUUUCUACUGAUUGGAAUAGUUUCAGAAGGAAUGGUACCAGUUCCUCCUUGUACCUCUGGUAGAAUUCGGCUGUGAAUCCAUCUGGUCCUUGACUUUUUUUGAUUGAAAUUAGUUGAUAACGUCUUCCAGGAGACCUACGGCCAUCCUACUGAUAUGAACCAGAUCAUACCUGCCCUGAUGGGAUGCCAGAGAAAGACUGCUGCAAGGUACGCGCCACUCACAGACCUCUCCAUUUAUCUCACUGAUGCAAAGGACCCUGAGUAGGGAUCCUCUGGAAACAGAACAGAGGGAAGAAGAUACCUUCCCUGAAGCCCAGAUGUUCCAGAAGCCUGCGCCUCAUUCACAAAGUCACCCCAAAAAUGCCCUAGAGUUUGGAGUUUUGAAGAAGCGGGAAGAAGGCCUGAGUAAGGGCCUGGGAACCAAGUUAGAUCCUACUUCAGCAUCAGCACAUGCCAGCGAUGGUGCACACAGGUGGAGAGCGGCCUGCCCGUCUUUUCCAUGGUGCCCACAGACCCAUUUAGGAUGAAAGAUCAGAAAAUUCUCUCCAUGUCACCGCUUCUGAAACAUGUGAAUAUUAAUAUUUGGUGCCUAAAAGGCCAUGGCAAAUUUUCAUUGGUUUUAUCUUAUUCAUGAUUAUAGAGUUGAAAGAAUACGGUAUAAAACAGCAUGAAGAAA
rnacentral:lncRNA from 1 species